rnacentral:rRNA from 1 species
CCUACGGGUGGCAGCAGUGAGGAAUAUUGGUCAAUGGGCGCGAGCCUGAACCAGCCAAGUAGCGUGAAGGAUGACUGCCCUACGGGUUGUAAACUUCUUUUAUAAAGGAAUAAAGUGAGGCACGUGUGCCUUUUUGUAUGUACUUUAUGAAUAAGGAUCGGCUAACUCCGUGCCAGCAGCCGCGGUAAUACGGAGGAUCCGAGCGUUAGCCGGAUUUAUUGGGUUUAAAGGGGGCGUACAUGGGUUUUUAAGUCAGUUGUGAAAGUUUGCGGCUCAACGGAAAGAUUGCAAUUGAGACUGGCAGCAGUGAGGACAGUAGAGGUAGGCGGAAUUCGUGGGGUAGCGGAGAAA